AAGAAGGGAUCAUCAAAAUGGCAAUCUAACUUAUCAGCAAUCUCAUGAGAUGCCAGGUACAGCCUAUAAUCACCUGGAUGAGAGGACUCCACCUGAAGAAUUGUCUUGAUCGACUGACAUAUGGCAAAAUCCAUGGUAGAUUGUAUUGAUAAAUGUGGGAGGGAUCAGCCUACUAUGUGUGAUGCCAUUUCUAAACAUGAGAUCUGAGCUGUAUAAGAAAGUAGCUCAGCAUGAACUAAAGACCAGGGAACUGCAAAUGAAAUGCAAACCCGUGUCCUGAAGCAUUGCCUUGUCCAGGAUAGACCAAUAUUUUGUUCUAUGUAGACCUUCAGUCUCUGUCACAUCAAGGCUUGAACUAAAAUAUGCAUUAAUAUUGAUCUAUCAUUAAUACCAAAAAGGACCUUCUGACCCCUGCCUACGGCUUGGUGAAAACGAAGGAGAGCGCACUAUUUCUGCUUGUUUAACAGAGCACCUGAAUCACAAUGGGGAAGUGUGAAGAAAGGGGACCACCAUUCCUGAAUAGAGGACCAUGUAAAUCAAAGCUAAAGGCUGUCAUAGGAAACAUGCUAUACUGGUGAGGAGGCUGAUAAACAAUUCAUAAGUGACUCUAUUAUGAUUCUGGUAGCAAAGCCAAGAUGUCAGGAAAGAGAUGAGCUCUCAAAAGCAGAAAGCUGAAAGGAUGGCGAUGUCCCACAGAGCAAGAAUCUUUAUCUUCUGCCAACUUACCAGUUUCCCUGGACCAUUUCUGAGCAACUAAUUCUGGAACUGCACUGAGAUGGCACUGUGUGCUCUACACAUGAUACCCACUACCCAUACUGAAACAGAAAUUAAUCAUCCUUUGAGCAUUCCAUGAUUUUGAAAUCAAGCUUAUUCAAAAGAACUUCUCUAAAGCUCCCUGCUUUUUUAGAGUGGGACUAAGGCCCACAAUCUACAGCCACUUUCACAAAAAAAAAAAAAAAAAACCAAAAAAAAAAAACAAAAAAAACCAAAAAAAAACAAAAAAACAAGAAAAGAAAUAUUAAUGAAACAGGUUCAGAGGUGGCCUUUUAGUUUUGGAUUUUAUUUGGACCACUUAAAGAAGUAUGGGUAUGUCCUGCUUGUUGGAGAAGAAGAGAUUCAAAGACAUCUCUGCCACUGAAAUGCACCUAGUAUAGAUGAUGGCUUAUGAAGCUGGAACUUUGAGUGUAUACACAAUGUCAGGCAGCUCAACAGGUUGUGGUGUCUUCCUGGCAGGGAAGCUGCACCCUGAAGAUUUCUACCAGAAACUGUCUUGUUCCUGGCUGCACUGGCUGAGUGUAUGCAUAUUCGAAGGUUGAACUGAGCAGAACAGGGCUUUACCUUAUAAAUAUUUAGUUCCUUCGGUCCAUAUUGCUUUCUCAGUGGAUACUUACAACUAUAAAUUUAUGGCACUAAGGUACAGAAAUGUGGUAAGACUCUCUCUUUUGUGUUGCUUAAGUUGGAAAAAUGACUGCAUGAAAAGAAGUGGAAAGUCUUACUUUAUUUCCACUUAGUUUAUAAAAGAAUAUCAGUGGCCACUUCUGUGGUUUCCUGGAGGAUCCAGACUACGAUUUGGUGGGCUGCUGGGUAAUCAUGAAGGUGCUCUCACUGAAGGAAAGGACCUCCUGUAACCAGACAUUUAUGUGCAGCAAUGGUGAACUCUGGUUUCGAGCAGCCUUUAGUACUGGAAGAUGCUAAAGCAUCAGCAAUGGGGAAUUUCUACUUUCUAGCCACAUCUAUCAAAGCUGAGACCCGAAAUAGCCCUGGGACUCCCAUGGUCCGUCACAGGGUCUGAGGUCCUCUCAGAAGCAGCUCUUCCGCUGGUGGAUGCCAGUUAUUAGCAGCUUAGUUGGGUUUAAGGUCCAGGCUUUCUCUGACCAGGGUAAGUUACUUUUAUUCCAGAGCUCCUAUUUUUCUUGGUAAACAUGUAUCUGAUUUACAUCAUGGCUUAGUUUUCUGCUAAAUUAUGGUCAUCUUCCGUGCCUUUUAUGGGUUUAGUAGUACUUCUUCAUCGUUAUUCCUACAUGUUCCAGGCUACAAAACUUUAUAAAGAAAAUACAUUUUCUUAAUUCACAGUUCUGGAGACUUAACAGGAUUCUAUUUUGUAAUAUAACUAUUAAUAAUUCUAGCAAGCCAGCAAGCCGGCAAGCCUUCCCACAGUCACGUGGUGCAUCACAGUCACAGUCCAUGAAUGAGGAGGCCCACUCCAGGUUAGUUUGCUUGUGAUCUACCACCUUAUCUUCAAACAGAAGACUCCAAAUGUUUAUGCCUUCUGCAAUUUUUUUCCCCUGACUUUUAUGUCAGUUGUGCCCUGGUAUGUAAUUCUGUGCCUUUGCCACAUUUUGACCCAGUCCAUGCAUAAGGUUUGCCCUCAGUUUAUCCAAUACCAUCGGAUUCAGUGGCCUUCUGUCAUCUGUUCUCCACACAAUCGCCUGGCCUCAGCACUGUGUGGCUGGCUGCCCUCCAGAUCCUCAUCCUGGAAGCAGCUGUCCUCACAAGGAGAGAGGAGCUUGGUUCAUCUGUAAAUAUUUUCAAGGAGCGGGACUCAAUGUCACAAAGAGGUCAAGGCUUCAGUCAUGUGGGAAGAGUGACAUGAUAGCAUAUGAGAAACGAUUAAACUUAGCAGGCAGUACUGUGCCUCUAAAGUGACAGAGACCUAAAGCGAACCAGUGUAUAUUAGAAGCCUUGCCUUACUGUCUUUCUAGCUAGGCUCUCCAAAUUCAACCUUAAGAUACUCGUGAUGUUGCCUGGAGCAUUUCAGUGAGCUCUUUGUAAAGCUUGGUUCUUCAGACCUCUCUUAAGUACUUUACAUAUACAAGGUUAGGAUGUACCCCUGAAGUAAAGAGAGUAUCAAAUAUUAGCAGAUACAGGCUCAGGGAGUUUGCCUUCUAUUUAGACAAUUUUGGUGAAUUCUAGUCUCCACACAGACUGGAAUAUUAAACAUGUCAUGAUGAAGUCGGAAGAAAUGGGCACCAAAGGAAAGGAUGGAUUAUUGUCACUGGGAGGAUUCAGUGUUAUGCAAGAAGUGGGUGUUGACAUGAAAUGUGGAUGAGUUCUUUUACCCUCUUGUAUGCUAGUGUCUGAGAUGUACAUUUCUUAGGAAGAACACAAUGUAAUGAAAAAUGAGGUGUGUUAUUUGAAGGUGAGUUAAUAUGGAGCAUCAUUGCUAGCAGUCAGAGCUGACUAGAGAAGAGCUCAUUCUGAAUGAAACGUAGAAAAGAGUUUGAUAGGCUAUGUGAGACCAUUUUGGAUGUCUAUCAAAGUUCACAUCAAUGAGAAACAUGCCCUGUGGAGAAGAGGGUCCCAAGGUCUAGGUUAGGAGUAAUAAACUACUCUUCUAACACUGCUGGAAGAAGAUGGAUGGACCACAAAGGCUCUGAGGACACACUACUUGAAUUCAAAUUUCAGCCUCUAGUUUUCUGUGUGUGCCGUUACGUUACAUGAAUCAUUUACUCUCUGUACCCACAGUGUGCUCAUGUGUAAAAAGAGGAUUAAAGUUGACCAAGUCUUCUUAAACUUUCAACUUGGACACUCAGCAUGCAAAGUAUAUAAACAAAUCAAAUGUUAUUAAUAAUAAAAGAUGACUUUAUUUUA
rnacentral:lncRNA from 1 species